AAGUCGUAACAAGGUAACCGUAGGUGAACCUGCGGUUGGAUCAUUACCGAAAAUUAAUCAUUGCAUAGGCAAGAGCGAGUUUUAUACCCUUUUGUCAAUGCCUUGGUCAAAUUAAUUUUUUGUGCAAUUAUGAUGUUUUUUGGGUCGCUCCUUUGGGGGAGGCCCAAAGUAUUAAACAAACUAUAUCAAUUUGACUUAUAUCUCUAUGUAAAUAGAAACAACUUUUGACAACGGAUCUCUUGGCUCUC
rnacentral:misc_RNA from 1 species